rnacentral:piRNA from 1 species
UAUCAGGAUGUGCCCACCUGCAGCAGU